UACGUAGGGGGCAAGCGUUGUCCGGAAUCAUUGGGCGUAAAGCGCGUGUAGGCGGUUCGGUAAGUCGGCUGUGAAAGUCCAGGGCUCAACCCUGGGAUGCCGGUCGAUACUGCCGGACUAGAGUUCGGAAGAGGCGAGUGGAAUUCCCGGUGUAGCGGUGAAAUGCGUAGAUAUCAUUUGGAACGCCAAUGGUGAAAAACAACUCGCUGGGGGAAGUGCUGACGCUGAGACACGAAAGCCCAGGGGAGCGAACGGGG
rnacentral:rRNA from 1 species